rnacentral:rRNA from 1 species
CCUACGGGUGGCAGCAGUGAGGAAUAUUGGUCAAUGGACGAGAGUCUGAACCAGCCAAGUAGCGUGAAGGAUGACUGCCCUAUGGGUUGUAAACUUCUUUUAUAUGGGAAUAAAAUGUUCCACGUGUGGGAUUUUGUAUGUACCAUAUGAAUAAGGAACGGCUAACUCCGCGCCAGCAGCCGCGGUAAUACGGAGGAUCCGAGCGUUAUCCGGAUUUAUUGGGUGUAAGGGGAGCGUAGGCGGAUUGUUAAGUCAGUUGUGAAAGUUUGGGGCUCAACCGUAAAAUUGCAGUUGAAACUGGCAGGCUUGAGUACAGUAGAGGUGGGCGGAAUUCGUGGUGUAGCGGUGAAAUGCUUAGAUAUCAGGAAGAACUCCGAUUGCGAAGGCAGCUCACUGGACUGCAACUGACACUGAGGCUCGAAAGUGUGGGUAUCAAACAGGAUUAGAUACCCCUGUAGUC